rnacentral:sRNA from 1 species
GUUACUUUCCACGAGUUCCUGACCACUUCUACCUAAAUGUGGUGUGUUGCCCUUGGCCUGUUUUCUAGAGGACAAUUGAUUCAUUUUAUACCUUGAAGAAAUGGGUCAAGGAGCUGAAAGAACAUGGUCCAGAAAACAUUGUAAUGGCCAUCGCUGGAAACAAGUGCGACCUCUCAGAUAUUAGGGAGGUUCCCCUGAAGGAUGCUAAGGAAUACGCUGAAUCCAUAGGUGCCAUCGUGGUUGAGACAAGUGCAAAAAAUGCUAUUAAUAUCGAAGAGCUCUUUCAAGGAAUCAG